GACGAACGCUGGCGGCGUGCUUAACACAUGCAAGUCGAACGGAAAGGCCCUGCUUUUGUGGGGUGCUCGAGUGGCGAACGGGUGAGUAACACGUGAGUAACCUGCCCUUGACUUUGGGAUAACUUCAGGAAACUGGGGCUAAUACCGGAUAGGAGCUCCUGCUGCAUGGUGGGGGUUGGAAAGUUUCGGCGGUUGGGGAUGGACUCGCGGCUUAUCAGCUUGUUGGUGGGGUAGUGGCUUACCAAGGCUUUGACGGGUAGCCGGCCUGAGAGGGUGACCGGCCACAUUGGGACUGAGAUACGGCCCAGACUCCUACGGGCGGCAGCAGUGGAGAAUAUUGCGCAAUGGGCGGAAGCCUGAUGCAGCAACGCCGCGUGCGGGAUGACGGCCUUCGGGUUGUAAACCGCUUUCGCCUGUGACGAAGCGUGAGUGACGGUAAUGGGUAAAGAAGCACCGGCUAACUACGUG
rnacentral:rRNA from 1 species